UGGGGAAUAUUGCACAAUGGGCGCAAGCCUGAUGCAGCCAUGCCGCGUGUAUGAAGAAGGCCUUCGGGUUGUAAAGUACUUUCAGUCGGGAGGAAGGUGGUAAGGUUAAUAACCUUAUCAAUUGACGUUACCGACAGAAGAAGCACCGGCUAACUCCGUGCCAGCAGCCGCGGUAAUACGGAGGGUGCAAGCGUUAAUCGGAAUUACUGGGCGUAAAGCGCACGCAGGCGGUUGAUUGAGUCAGAUGUGAAAUCCCCGGGCUUAACACGGGAAUUGCAUCUGAUACUGGUCAGCUAGAGUCUUGUAGAGGGGGGUAGAAUUCCAUGUGUAGCGGUGAAAUGCGUAGAGAUGUGGAGGAAUACCGGUGGCGAAGGCGGCCCCCUGGACAAAGACUGACGCUCAGGUGCGAAAGCGUGGGGAGCAAACAGG
rnacentral:rRNA from 1 species